rfam:Tupaia chinensis contig179433, whole genome shotgun sequence.
AGCUUUGCGCAGUGGCAGUAUCGUAGCCAAUGAGGUUUAUCCGAGGCGCGAUUAUUGCUAAUUAAAAGUUGAGAUAUUAGCUUUGCGCAGUGGCAGUAUCGUAGCCAAUGAGGUUUAUCCGAGGCGCGAUUAUUGCUAAUUAAAAGUUGA